GUAACAACUCACCUGCCGAAUGAACUAGCCCUGAAAAUGGAUGGCGCUGAAGCGGGUCACUUAUACUCGACCGUUAAGGCAAGAGCUAAGCCUUAACGAGUAGGAGGGCGUCACGGUUGUUGUGCAGCUUGCGGCGUAAGCCGGAGUGAACCGGCCGUCAGCGCAGCUCUUGGUGGUAGUAGCAAAUAUUUAAAUGAGGACUUUGAAGACUGACGUGGGGA
rnacentral:rRNA from 1 species